GACGUAGGGGGCGAGCGUUAUCCGGAUUCACUGGGCGUAAAGGGCGCGCAGGCGGCUAUGUAAGUCCGGCGUGAAAUCCCACGGCUCAACUGUGGAAUUGCGUCGGAUACUGCAUUGGCUUGAGGACGGUAGAGGCUUCUGGAACUAGCGGUGUAGCGGUGAAAUGCGCAGAUAUCGCUAGGAACGCCGGUGGCGAAGGCGGGAGGCUGGGCCGAUCCUGACGCUGAGGCGCGAAAGCUAGGGGAGCGAACCGG
rnacentral:rRNA from 1 species